rnacentral:rRNA from 1 species
GACGUAGGGCGCGAGCGUUGUCCGGAUUUAUUGGGCGUAAAGAGCUCGUAGGCGGUUUGUCGCGUCUGCCGUGAAAACUCGGAGCUCAACUCCGAGCCUGCGUUCGAUACUGGACGGCUAGAGUCUGGUAGGGGGAUCUGGAAUUCCUGGUGUAGCGGUGGAAUGCGUAGAUAUCGGGAGGAACACCAGUGGCGAAGGCGACUACCUGGCCUGUUUCUUGACGCUGAGGCGCGAAAGCUAGGGGAGCAAACGGGG